CACACGUGAGAUUUCCUUUUACCAACAGAGAAUCUCCAAAUCCAGCCUUUUACCAGAAGCCUCUCCGAGAAACUGGGCGUCUCUCCCAGGACCACAGCCCCCCAGCGACCGCUCAGCACUUCUGUGGCUUCGGCGGCAGCGCCCGCGGCUUCCUGUCACUCUCCCAGCUGGCUGAAGGCACAGACCCUCAGCUUCCACAACCCACAACUCCGGGAGGGGAUUCCCAACCACAGACAGGGGUCUUUCCCCCGCAGGAAACCUCCCACCCUUCUUCAGGCUGUCAGUGAAACGGCAGCCACUUUUCAAAAUAACAGUUUCUCCCUUUACGUGACAUUAAAGAGGAAAGCACUCUGCC
ensembl:lncRNA novel transcript